rnacentral:sRNA from 1 species
ACACGGGAAAGGAGGUGGUCCAGACUUGUAUAGCAAUCGGACUCGUGAGGUGGCUGUCCGCUAGCCGCUGUCCUCGACAGUGACCGUCUGAUCCCAGGCGGGCAGUAAGAAGUCGUCGAGACCGUGUGGCAGCGGUGCGGCGAAACCACGACAAGCCACCCGACCCCCGGGGUGCCGACCCAGUCCAGUCGGCCCGCGUUCGCGCGGAAGCCCCGGGGGUCGCUUCAU